rnacentral:rRNA from 1 species
CACGUAGGGGGCAAGCGUUGUCCGGAUUUAUUGGGCGUAAAGAGCUCGUAGGUGGUUCGGUAAGUCAGGUGUGAAACCUCCAGGCUCAACCUGGAGACGCCACUUGAUACUGCUGUGACUGGAGUCCGGUAGGGGAGCGUGGAAUUCCUGGUGUAGCGGUGAAAUGCGCAGAUAUCAGGAGGAACACCAGCGGCGAAGGCGGCGCUCUGGGCCGGUACUGACACUGAGGAGCGAAAGCGUGGGUAACAAACAGG